GGAUGUGAGGGUGAUCUGGCUGCGACAUCUGUCCCCCCAUUGAUCACCAGGGUUGAUUUCUGGCUGGCUAGGUGGGUGUCCCCUUCUACCCUCACUGCUCCAUGUAGUCCCUCCCGAAUCUGCUCAGUGGAAGAGGAUGAUCUUCCCUGAUAGAGGAGGACCGUUCUUCGGUCAAGGGUAUACGAGUAGCUGCACUCCCCGGCUAGAACCUCCAAACAAGCUCUCAAGAAGAGCAAGUCUGGACACAUGCUAAGGAAGCAUUAGGCAACAGAAAGGAGGAGAAUCUCAGACAAAAGCCCAGCCUCUGCUU
rnacentral:snRNA from 1 species